rnacentral:rRNA from 1 species
GAUGAACGCUGGCGGCGUGCUUAACACAUGCAAGUCGAACGGGAAACCUUUUAUUGAAGCUUCGGCAGAUUUCGCUGGUUUCUAGUGGCGGACGGGUGAGUAACGCGUGGGUAACCUGCCUUAUACAGGGGGAUAACAACCAGAAAUGGUUGCUAAUACCGCAUAAGCGCACAGGACCGCAUGGUCCGGUGUGAAAAACUCCGGUGGUAUAAGAUGAACCCGCGUUGGAUUAGCUAGUUGGCAGGGUAACGGCCUACCAAGGCGACGAUCCGUAGCCGGCCUGAGAGGGUGAACGGCCACAUUGGGACUGAGACACGGCCCAGACUCCUACGGGAGGCAGCAGUGGGGAAUAUUGCACAAUGGGGGAAACCCUGAUGCAGCGACGCCGCGUGAAGGAAGAAGUAUCUCGGUAUGUAAACUUCUAUCAGCAGGGAAGAUAGUGACGGUACCUGACUAAGAAGCCCCGGCUAACUACGUG